rnacentral:rRNA from 1 species
AGUAGUCAUAUGCUUGUCUCAAAUAUUAAGCCAUGUAUGUGUAAGUAUAUACUAUUUCAGACUGUGAAACUGCAAAUGGCUCAUUAAAUCAGUUAUAGUUUGUUUGAUGGUACAUGCUACAAGGAUAACCAUAGUAAUUCUAGAGCUAAUACGUGCAACAAACCUCGACUUUCGGAAGGGAUGCAUUUAUUAGAUAAAAGGUUGAUGCGGGCUUUGCCUGCUGCUCCGAUGAUUCAUGAUAACUCGACGGAUCGCACGGCCCUCGUGCCGAAGAUGCAUCAUUCAAAUUUCUACCCUAUCAACUUUCGAUGGUAAGAUAGGGUCCUACCAAGGUGGUGACGGGUGACGGAGAAUUAGGGUUCAAUUCUGGAGAGGGAGCCUGAGAAACGGCUACCACAUCCAAGGAAGGUAGCAGAAGCGCAAAUUACCCAAUCCUGACAUAAGGAGGUAGUGACAAUAAAUAACAAUAACGGGCUCUUCGAGUCUGGUAAUUGGAAUGUGUACAAUCUAAAUCCCUUAACGAGGAUCCAUUGGAGGGCAUGUCUGAUGCCAACAGCCGUGGUAAUUCCAGCUCCAGUAGCGUAUAUUUAAGUUGUUGCAGUUAAAAAGCUCGUAGUUUGGUCGGUCCGCCUCGCAGUGUGCACCGAUCGUCCAAUCUCUUCUAUCGGCGAUGUGUGCCUGGCCUUAACUAGCUGGGUCGUGCCUCCAACGCUAUUACUUUGAAGAUAUUAGAGUGCUCAAAGCAAGCCCACGCUCUGGAUACAUUAGCAUGAGAUAAUAUCACAGGAUUUCGGUCCUAUUGUGUUGGCCUUCGGGAUCGGAGUAAUGAUUAAGAGGGACAAUCGGGGGCAUUCGUAUUUCAUAGUCAGAGGUGAAAUUCUUGGAUUUAUGAAAGGCGAACCACUGCGAAAGCAUUUGCCAAGGAUGUUUUCAUUAAUCAAGAAUGAAAGUUGGGGGCUCGAAGACGAUCAGAUACCAUCCUAGUCUCAACCAUAAACGAUGCCGACAAAGAAUCGACAGAUGUUGCUCUUAGGACUCCGCCGGCACCUUAUGUGAUAUGAAUGAGCAAGUUGAUUAUAAUUCUACCAAAAACCCUUUAACUAUUCAUCGAGGACCAAUGACAAGAGCGAAAACUAAAAGGAUGAAAGAAGCCUUAACUUGUUUAUUAGAAGGCAUUUGGAAGGAGCAAGCUAGUCAAAAUUUGGUCAAGGUUCUAUGGAUACAAGAAGAGCCUAAAAUAAUCAACCUGAUUCAAAAAAGUUAACAUCAUGAAGGGAAAGUCCAACCUUGAGAGAAGGAUGAAUUUUUAGCCAUCUUUAAAGAAUAAAGGUCAUUCAGCCAUAUUGGACCAUAUUAGUGUUAGGAUCGAGAGCACUAAGAGGGGGGGGGGUGAAUUAGUGUAGCGGAAAUCUUUCAGCGAUUUAAAAAACGAAAGCUGCGUUCGUCGGAUAAAAACGAUUUCGAUGUAAAAGUCGAUUCACAGUUUGUAUCUAAGUGUAGUUUACGCAGUUUGCGUCUAAAUGCAG